GGGUCGUUAGCUCAGUUGGUAGAGCAGUUGACUUUUAAUCAAUUGGUCGCAGGUUCGAAUCCUGCACGACC
rnacentral:tRNA from 5 species